rnacentral:tRNA from 1 species
AAAAUCCGUCGACUUAAAAAAUCGUGAGGGUUCAAGUCCCUCUAUCCCCAAAAAGUCUAUUUGACUAGUUAUCCUAUCCCU